rnacentral:rRNA from 1 species
GCCACGCCCGCUCAAGAAACUACAAAGGAAUUGACGGGGCCCGCACAAGCGGUGGAGUAUGUGGUUUAAUUCGAUGCAACGCGAAGAACCUUACCUGGUCUUGACAUCCCGGAGACCCUUAGGAAACUAGGGGGUGCUUCCAUCUGGAAGAAUCUGGAGACAGGUGCUGCAUGGCUGUCGCCAGCUCGUGUCGUGAGAUGUUGGGUUAAGUCCCGCAACGAGCGCAACCCUUGCCUUUAGUUGCCAGCAGUUCGGCUGGGCACUCUAAAGGGACUGCCGGUGUUAAACCGGAGGAAGGUGGGGAUGACGUCAAGUCCUCAUGGCCUUUAUGACCAGGGCUACACACGUACUACAAUGGCCGAUACAAAGGGCAGCGACACUGCGAGGUGAAGCCAAUCCCGUAAAAUCGGUCUCAGUCCGGAUUGGAGUCUGCAACUCGACUCCAUGAAGUUGGAAUCGCUAGUAAUCGUGGAUCAGCAUGCCACGGUGAAUACGUUCCCGGGCCUU